rnacentral:rRNA from 1 species
UAAGCGGAGGAGAAGAAACUAACAAGGAUUCCCCUAGUAACUGCGAGUGAAGCGGGAAAAGCUCAAAUUUAAAAUCUGGUGGUCUUUGGCCAUCCGAGUUGUAAUCUAGAGAAGCGUCUUCCGCGCUGGACCGUGCACAAGUCUCCUGGAACGGAGCGUCGUAGAGGGUGAGAAUCCCGUCUUUGGCAUGGACACACCAGGGCUCUUGUGAUGCGCUCUCGAAGAGUCGAGUUGUUUGGGAAUGCAGCUCAAAAUGGGUGGUGAACUCCAUCUAAAGCUAAAUAUUGGCGAGAGACCGAUAGCGAACAAGUACCGUGAGGGAAAGAUGAAAAGCACUUUGGAAAGAGAGUGAAACAGUACGUGAAAUUGUUGAAAGGGAAACGCUUGAAGUCAGUCGCGUCGACCGAGACUCAGCCUCGCCUCGGCUUGGUGUACUUCUCGGCCCGACGGGUCAGCAUCAAUUUCGCCUCUUGGAUAACGGCGAGGGAAACGUGACACCUUUACGGUGUGUUAUAGUCUCUCGUCGCAUGCAAGGGUCGGGAUUGAGGAACUCAGCACGCGCCUUUGGGCGUCGGGGCUUUGCCUACGAUACGUGCUUAGGAUGUUGGCGUAAUGGCUUUAAACGACC